rnacentral:tRNA from 2 species
ACUUUUAAAGGAUAGCAGUAAUCCAUUGGCCUUAGGAGCCACCCACCUUGGUGCAAAUCCAAGUAAAAGUA